rnacentral:rRNA from 1 species
AGUGAACGCUGGCGGUAGGCCUAACACAUGCAAGUCGAACGGCAGCACAGUAAGAGCUUGCUCUUACGGGUGGCGAGUGGCGGACGGGUGAGGAGUACAUCGGAAUCUACUUUUUCGUGGGGGAUAACGUAGGGAAACUUACGCUAAUACCGCAUACGACCUACGGGUGAAAGCAGGGGAUCUUCGGACCUUGCGCGAUUGAAUGAGCCGAUGUCGGAUUAGCUAGUUGGCGGGGUAAAGGCCCACCAAGGCGACGAUCCGUAGCUGGUCUGAGAGGAUGAUCAGCCACACUGGAACCGAGACACGGUCCAGACUCCUACGGGAGGCAGCAGUGGGGAAUAUUGGACAAUGGGCGCAAGCCUGAUCCAGCCAUACCGCGUGGGUGAAGAAGGCCUUCGGGUUGUAAAGCCCUUUUGUUGGGAAAGAAAAGCAGCAGGUUAAUACCCCGCUGUUCUGACGGUACCCAAAGAAUAAGCACCGGCUAACUUCGUG